rnacentral:rRNA from 1 species
CGGCAACAGCUCAAAUUUGAAAUCUGGCUCCCUCGGGGGUCCGAGUUGUAAUUUGCAGAGGGUGCUUUGGCGUCGAGCGCGGUCUAAGUUCCUUGGAACAGGACGUCACAGAGGGUGAGAAUCCCGUAUGUGGUCGCCGAUCUUCGCCAUGUAAAGCCCCUUCGAC